GUGGGGAAUUUUGGACAAUGGGCGCAAGCCUGAUCCAGCAAUGCCGCGUGCAGGAAGAAGGCCUUCGGGUUGUAAGCUGCUUUUGUACGGAACGAAACGGUCCGGGUUAAUACCCUGGGCUAAUGACGGUACCGUAAGAAUAAGCACCGGCUAACUACGUGCCAGCAGCCGCGGUAAUACGUAGGGUGCGAGCGUUAAUCGGAAUUACUGGGCGUAAAGCGUGCGCAGGCGGCUUUGCAAGACAGAUGUGAAAUCCCCGGGCUCAACCGGGGAACUGCAUUUGUGACUGAAAGGCUAGAGUACGGCAGAGGGGGAUGGAAUUCCGCGUGUAGCAGUGAAAUGCGUAGAUAUGCGGAGGAACACCAAUGGCGAAGGCAAUCCCCUGGGCCUGUACUGACGCUCAUGCACGAAAGCGUGGGGAGCAAACAGGAUUAGAAACCCUUGUAGUCC
rnacentral:rRNA from 1 species